rnacentral:lncRNA from 1 species
UUCCAGGAAAUGCCCUUCCCAGAACCAACUCCACCCAGCUGCUGUUAGCACAAUUUGCCUGCAAGACAGAUGCUAUCUCUGAGGCUGGCACCGGCCUCCUCC